rnacentral:tRNA from 1 species
GCUCAGUUGGUUAAACACCAGACACUUGAUUUUGGCUCAGGCCAUGAUCUCAUGGUUUGUGGGUUCGAGCCCCACAUUGGGCU